GCAUCAGGAUUCAGACUGCACCACUGUCAUGAAAAAAUUGGACCUAAAGAUCAGAACUCGCAUGGCACCACUAAAUUAGUCAAUAGUGAAUAUGCUUUGGCUUACUCUUCUUGCAAUUCAUCGAUACUAAAUGAUAAGGGUCGUUGCUCAGUCAGGAUGGAAGUGGGCAAUCAUGCUACCCGCAUAAAAACUAGCUUUAUAGUUCCCUUCUUACUAGCUAGCAUUUAUAAGAAAAAAUUAAUUAGAAUUGUGGUAAGCGGGCAAAAAAGCCCACUUGCCAACCCUAGUUACAUCUUUAAUGGAGGAGAUCUUAGGUAUGAAAUGCUCAUAAAUCUUAGUACGAUAUGUUAUGCCUUCGAUAAUAACAAUCUACUUUGUCUAGACGAUAAACAACAGUUCAUUGUUGAAAAAGUCAUGCUAGAGAGCAAAGACUCUUCGAUUGAAGAGGUUGGAGAGUGAAGUGUUCUUUGGAGUAUUGUAGUGUCUCCUUGUUUGUUCUUGGUUCUAUAGUAUAUGU
rnacentral:lncRNA from 1 species